rnacentral:rRNA from 1 species
GCGAACGCUGGCGGCAGGCCUAACACAUGCAAGUCGAACGAACUCUUCGGAGUUAGUGGCGGACGGGUGAGUAACACGUGGGAACGUGCCUUUUGGUUCGGAAUAACUCAGGGAAACUUGUGCUAAUACCGAAUGUGCCCUUCGGGGGAAAGAUUUAUCGCCAUUAGAGCGGCCCGCGUCUGAUUAGCUAGUUGGUGAGGUAACGGCUCACCAAGGCGACGAUCAGUAGCUGGUCUGAGAGGAUGACCAGCCACACUGGGACUGAGACACGGCCCAGACUCCUACGGGAGGCAGCAGUGGGGAAUCUUGCGCAAUGGGCGAAAGCCUGACGCAGCCAUGCCGCGUGAAUGAUGAAGGUCUUAGGAUUGUAAAAUUCCUUCACCGGGGACGAUAAUGACGGUACCCGGAGAAGAAGCCCCGGCUAACUUCGUG